GACGAACGCUGGCGGCGUGCCUAAUACAUGCAAGUAGAACGCUGAAGAGAGGAGCUUGCUCUUCUUGGAUGAGUUGCGAACGGGUGAGUAACGCGUAGGUAACCUGCCUUGUAGCGGGGGAUAACUAUUGGAAAUGAUAGCUAAUACCGCAUAACAAUGGAUGACACAUGUCAUUUAUUUGAAAGGGGCAAUUGCUCCACUACAAGAUGGACCUGCGUUGUAUUAGCUAGUAGGUGAGGUAAUGGCUCACCUAGGCGACGAUACAUAGCCGACCUGAGAGGGUGAUCGGCCACACUGGGACUGAGACACGGCCCAGACUCCUACGGGAGGCAGCAGUAGGGAAUCUUCGGCAAUGGGGGCAACCCUGACCGAGCAGCGCCGCGUGAGUGAAGAAGGUUUUCGGAUCGUAAAGCUCUGUUGUAAGUCAAGAACGGGUGUGAGAGUGGAAAGUUCACACUGUGACGGUAGCUUACCAGAAAGGGACGGCUAACUACGUG
rnacentral:rRNA from 1 species